CGGACAUUCAACACGGCGUCUACAGUACGUAACUAACCGCUGGGACGAAAACGUUAUUGGAUUUGGCGAUAACUUAAAUUAAGGGCAGUUGAUCUAAUAUUAAUCGUACGAAUGGUCAAAACCGGUGAUUCCCUAUUUGCCUCAAUCAACGGGGGUCUUGGCAAUGUUAACGUCCCCCAGUGUUGGACUAGGACGCUAGCUUAAAAGCAACUAAACGUGUGGAGAUCUGUGAAGAAACGUACAUGUACAGUAGCCACGGUCUGGUCUUGGCCUUGACACUUACCUCCUCGAGAACAUCUGCAAGCUUGCUGAGAAUGUCUUCCUGCAAGUCGUGGAACGUUGGGACGCUGCAGAUAAAAAAGGGAUGUGGAAAGCUGCGAAGCUCACAGCCAGUUUUGGCAUGAAAACAUUUGAAGAGGCAUGCCAGUGAUCUGUAGUGAACAAGGAGAUGUCCGCAAUAUUCUGCUAUCAGAGUUGACAUGUAUACCGUGUAUAUACAGUAUGCUCAUACCAAUAUUUAGCAUGUAUUUCAUAGUAUGUCUAAUUGCACAGCAGGACAUCUGAAGUUGAAUUCAUCCAAAUGAGGCUCUAAUGUUUGUUCUGUUUGUUUUCUGGCUAUCUCAUUGAACAGUAUCUGCCUCUCAUCAAGCUGCUAAAUAAAACUGGCCCAAUGUUUAUCAAAAAGGAGUGAAAAUAAACCCUGUUGGUGAACAAAGGGCUUAUCUCUCCAAAGCAUCUCUCGC